rnacentral:lncRNA from 1 species
UUCGAAGGUGGACACAGAUGGCCGGACAACGGCGUGGAAGUUGAAGACCCAUGGUUUUCCAUAGGUGGCGGUGUGUUAUUGGGGCAUGUCAUGGAGUUGCAGGGGUCCUCUAUGUUGUAGGUGGUGUUUCUUUAUCCAGGGACUAGACUAAAAAGUCUCUUUUAGUCCUAGGUAAAGAAACAAGAGGGACUUUUCCUUAAGGGACUACAAAAAGACUAUUGGAGGGACUUUUUUCUUUAAUUCCUGUGACUAAAAAAAAGUCUAGUCCCUGGAAAAGAAACGCCACCGUAGUUAGUUCCUGGUGUAGUCAGGGAUGUUGUUCGGUAGCAUCUUGUAUCCUUUUGUCACCUAUCUUUUUCUUCUUCUUCAUUCUUUUUUUGUUGUAUUGAUGGUUGUUUGCUCGGUUGUUGCUUUAUAAUAUAAAGCGGGGGAAAGUUCUACUCUCUAUCUUUGAACACAACUAGCAAAAAGGUCUGUACUACCUUCAUCUCAGUUAUCGUUAAUUUGACCAAC